rnacentral:tRNA from 2 species
GCUGGUAGCAUAGUGGUUAGUGCUGUUGCCUUUGGGCUCAGUGGUUGUAGGUUUAAUUCCUACCUUGAGCA